rnacentral:rRNA from 1 species
GACGAACGCUGGCGGCGUGCUUAACACAUGCAAGUCGAGCGGUAAGGCCCUUUCGGGGGUACACGAGCGGCGAACGGGUGAGUAACACGUGGGUGACCUGCCCUCAGCUCUGGGAUAAGCCUGGGAAACCGGGUCUAAUACUGGAUAUGACUCCAUGACGCAUGUUGUGGGGUGGAAAGCCUUGUGCGGCUGAGGAUGGGCCCGCGGCCUAUCAGCUUGUUGGUGGGGUGANGGCCUACCAAGGCGACGACGGGUAGCCGGCCUGAGAGGGCGACCGGCCACACUGGGACUGAGACACGGCCCAGACUCCUACGGGAGGCAGCAGUGGGGAAUAUUGCGCAAUGGGCGGAAGCCUGACGCAGCGACGCCGCGU